rnacentral:misc_RNA from 1 species
GAACGCACCUUGCGCUCCUUGGUAUUCCGAGGAGCAUGCCUGUUUGAGUGUCAUUAAUAUAACCUCAAACCUUUCUUUUUGUUGAAGGGUUUGGAUGUGGGGGUUUUGCUGCGCCUCUUAAGAGGUUCAGCUCCUCUGAAAUGCAUUAGCAGAACAACCUUGCUCAUUGGUGUGAUAACUAUCUACGCUUAUGAAUGUGAGGGGCAGUUCAGCUUUCUAACUGUCUUUGGACAAUUCAUCAUUAAUGUGACCUCAAAUCAGGUAGGACUACCCGCUGAACUUAAG